AUCCAAAAAGGAAAAAAGAAAAGGAAAAAGGGAUUGAUUUCUUUUCUUCUCUGCUUUCUUUUCUUCUUUUUU
rnacentral:ribozyme from 15 species